rnacentral:tRNA from 1 species
AGGAGUGUAGCUCAGCUGGUAGAGCAUCGGUCUCCAAAACCGAGGGUCGUGGGUUCGAGCCCCUCCACUCCUGCCA